rnacentral:rRNA from 1 species
UACGGAGGGUGCAAGCGUUGUCCGGAUUCAUUGGGUUUAAAGGGUGCGCAGGCGGACGAUUAAGUCAGGGGUGAAAGACGGUUGCUCAACAAUCGCAGUGCCUUUGAUACUGGUUGUCUUGGGUGACCUUGAGGUAGGCGGAAUGGGUGGUGUAGCGGUGAAAUGCAUAGAUACCACCCAGAACUCCGAUUGCGAAGGCAGCCUACUGGAGGUUCACCGACGCUCAGGCACGAAAGCGUGGGGAUCAAACAGG